GCUCCCAACGAGAUCUUUUUGGAGGAUUACAAGCCCACUGGCUAUCACUUUGACACGGUCGAGAAAUUUGUUGUCUGAGAAAAAGACAACCGUGGUGUUUAAGAUCCGGGUUUUGCCGAGAAACUCAAGUAUUUUCUUUUUCACUUUCGUUGUUUCGUUCGCUAUCUUGGUAGUCAUUAACCAGAAGCCAUGCAGGUGAAAGCCCGCCAUUGGUGUUGGAUGGUCGUGACGUGAAACUUCUCUUUGUUAAAAUCAACGACGAAGAACGGAAGCUGGAAGAAGUUGCGCUCACCAGCCGUCAUCUGACGCUGAAGUCACUUCCUGUUCAGCCUUUUCUCAGGGUUCUGGAUGUGAUAAGGAGGUCGUUUCAGGAGAAGAAUGGAUCAAAUGUGAUAAGGAGGGCGUUUCUGACGUGCUAUUGUCUUUCCUAGUGACUUAAGAAAGUCCAAGUGUUCGACUUAUCGUGGCUUGGUCAACCUUAGCUCAGGCCGGCAUUUGGCUUUUAAGCUUUUCACCAAGAGAGACACUAGCUAACUAAAGAGAGGAAAUUAUAUCGUU